GCCAGAGUGGUGUACUGGUUUGAGUGUUGGACUACAAGUUUGAAGACCAUGGUUCAAAUCCAUGCUCAGCCA